UUGUUGGUAAGGUAAAAGCUUACCAAGGCUUCGAUCAGUAGCUGGUCUGAGAGGACGACCAGCCACACUGGGACUGAGACACGGCCCAGACUCCUACGGGAGGCAGCAGUGGGGAAUUUUGGACAAUGGGGGCAACCCUGAUCCAGCCAUGCCGCGUGAGUGAAGAAGGCCUUCGGGUUGUAAAGCUCUUUCAGCCGGAACGAAACGGUUACGGUUAAUACCCGUGACUACUGACGGUACCGGAAGAAGAAGCACCGGCUAACUACGUGCCAGCAGCCGCGGUAAUACGUAGGGUGCGAGCGUUAAUCGGAAUUACUGGGCGUAAAGCGUGCGCAGGUGGUUUUGUAAGUCAGAUGUGAAAGCCCCGGGCUCAACCUGGGAACUGCGUUUGAAACUACAAGACUAGAGUGUGGCAGAGGGGGGUGGAAUUCCGCGUGUAGCAGUGAAAUGCGUAGAGAUGUGGAGGAACACCGAUGGCGAAGGCAGCCCCCUGGGUCAACACUGACGCUCAGGCACGAAAGCAUGGGGAGCAAACAGGAUUAGAUACCCUGGUAGUCCAUGCCCUAAACGAUGUCAACUAGUUGUCGGGCCUUUACGGGCUUGGUAACGUAGCUAACGCGUGAAGUUGACCGCCUGGGGAGUACGAUCGCAAGAUUAAAACUCAAAUGAAUUGACGGGGACCCGCCCAAGCGGUGGAUUAUGUGGAUUAAUUCGAUGCAACGCGAAAAACCUUACCUACCCUUGACAUGUAUCGAAGCCCGCAGAAAAGCGGGGGUGCCCGAAAGGGAACGAUAACACAGGUGCUGCAUGGCUGUCGUCAGCUCGUGUCGUGAGAUGUUGGGUUAAGUCCCGCAACGAGCGCAACCCUUGUCAUUAAUUGCCAUCAUUUAGUUGGGCACUUUAAUGAGACUGCCGG
rnacentral:rRNA from 1 species